UACAGAGGUCCCAAGCGUUGUUCGGAUUCACUGGGCGUAAAGGGUGCGUAGGUGGCCAGGUAAGUUCGGUGUGAAAGCUCGGAGCUUAACUCCGAAAUGGCAUUGAAUACUAUCUGGCUAGAGGGUCGGAGGGGAGACUGGAAUUCUCGGUGUAGCAGUGAAAUCCGUAGAUAUCAGGAGGAACAUCGGUGGCGAAGGCGGCCAACUGGUGGUGUAUUGACGCUGAGGUGCGAAAGUGCGGGGAGCAAACAGG
rnacentral:rRNA from 1 species